UUGCCUACGGGAGGCAGCAGUGGGGAAUAUUGCACAAUGGGGGAAACCCUGAUGCAGCGACGCCGCGUGAGCGAUGAAGUAUUUCGGUAUGUAAAGCUCUAUCAGCAGGGAAGAAGAUGACGGUACCUGACUAAGAAGCCCCGGCUAACUACGUGCCAGCAGCCGCGGUAAUACGUAGGGGGCAAGCGUUAUCCGGAUUUACUGGGUGUAAAGGGGGCGCAGACGGCAGCGCAAGCCAGGAGUGAAAGCCCGCGGCCCAACCGCGGGACUGCAUUGGGAACUACCGGGCUGGAGUGCCGGAGAGG
rnacentral:rRNA from 1 species